UCCAUUUUAGCUCUAAUAGUGUUUGUAAUUAGCUCUUUUUCUUUAUUUAAAAAAUAAAAAUUAAAAAUUUGCUCCAUCAACUGAGCAAAAGUUGUGGACAGCAGUAAAGUUAAGUAGUCUGACUAAAUCUGCAUAAAAACUGAUUGCUACAUAAAAACUUUUAUUGAACCGUGGCCAUAAGGUGAAUAGUGUAACUGUUUUAUCCAUCCCUCUGGGAAUCACCUUUUUUUUUAGUUUUCUUUUUAUUUAUUUUUUAAGUAAAACUUUUUUCAUUUGCUUAGUGCUGUUCAGUCUGCCUCUGAAACUACCUUGUAGGUAGCAUUUGAUUUGCACUGCUACUGAAUGAGGGUUUUUACCUCCCUCCUCCCCCCUCCGGUCCAUGUGCAUGAUGGCCAAAAAUAGUGAGUAUCCACUUUGUAGCUCACUUUUUUAAAAUAAAAAAUCCCCUUCCCCCAAUCUACAAUUAAAUGACAUUCUCAAAGGAAGUGAUAGGUGCCAUGCUCCCAAUUGUCUGAAAAAUACAGGGCCCCUCAUCUGAAAACAUUUCUGGCAACAGUAUAGCAUAGCGUAGAAGUCCUGCAAGGUUUUAGGGGUUUGGGCAGCCAUAAUGUUUACGUCUUAUGACUCAAGAGGAAAGGAAAAACAAUAAAAUAUUGGCUGUUCACACUGCAUAAAAUAAAGGUGAGAAAUCAUAGCUUAAUAGCACCUUAUUCACAUCUAUAAUUAUGCAGCUGGUGCAAGCAGUUGUUUAAGCUAUUCUAAUGAAGAUACGACAACUGGUAGUUACUUAUUCUAUCCCCUCCAAAAUGCUUUUUCUUUUGUGUAUAGCUUAUA